UACCAAACUUCUAAGACAACACAUCGAUGAUGGACGCCUGGGCCCAAGAGGCUAUGCGCCCUAAACCAACAACAACUGUUCCAUUUUUCAUUUGAGUGCACGGGCUCCCUGCGUUCACGGCCUCCGUCGUGGCUGGCUCUGUCGUCGUGCCUGCAGAUCCCCCGCGGCGUCGUCAGUAACAGCGCCAUGUCACCAGCUCCGAUGUAGUUUCACCGUCUUCGGCGCGUCAUCGUCACCUUCGUGGUAUCACGAUUAAAGGCUGCGUAAACACUGCCAUAUUACCUCUCGACAAAUCUUAGAAUUCUUACGGUCUGCAAAUUCCAGUCUGGUUCGGGCAGCCCGCACGCACAGCGGGACGAGAUGUAGCAGGUGCCGCCUCCUUCGAAAAACUAACUGAUCUUAACCUGCGACACACCACUGGGUAUCCAGCGUUGUUGUUCUGCAGCCAAGUCAUUGUGACGGCACUGGCUCCGAUGCUCUGCAUUAAAAAUCGUUGCAGAGCAUCAGCUGUGCUAUGUAACCGCCUAUUGUCUCAGGUACGAUGCUGGGAGCUUUAGCAUGGCAUAGCGAUCUCCUCCGCCAGGUCAAGUUUGCUGGCAUGUUUCCUGUUCAGAAAAAUGUGGUGGCCCGUGUGCAGUCAGCUUAGAGAUGCAACUUGUGUGUGGUCGUUUAAGUGCACUAUGUUCUGGGCAUGACUAUGCGACAUUCUAUGUGAACCAUGGAGUCACUAAUAAAUGCUGUAACGCGUG